CCGUGCUGGCGGCCGCCUGGCUCCGGCGCCCGGGGGGGCGGCCGGCGGCGCGGCCGCGUGGGGCGCCCGCCCGCCGUCCACGUGCCGCGGCGUGCCGCCGGCGUGCGCGGGAGAAUGGGCCCCGUGCCAAAUGAAGGGCGGCUCGUGCGUUCUGGCUCCGCCUCGGUCUGGCGCCUCUGCAAGGUCAGGGGUGCCGCCGAACAGCGUUCGCGUGCCCCGCGGUGGCCCGGCAGAGCCGGCCGACCAGCCAGCGCCGUGCGCCACGGCACGCGCCGGCGCGCGCGCGGCUGCCGAUCCGGUGCGCGCGGCGGCGCACGCGGGCGCGCCAAAAAAGUCCUGGUCCGGCGCGUUUUAUGUCCACGCGUUGCAUUUGUGGGGAUCCGGCUUCGUAGGUGUGGGAAGGAUAGAACCGUCGAGCGCCGCCGGCGCGCCGGCGUCCUGUUGCCCUCCGACUGCGGCGGGCGGCACGUGCCAGGGGUUUGGCCCCGGCGGCGUGCGCGCUUGCCCCGCGUGGCGGGCGCCGCGCCGCCGGCACGCCGCCGGCGCGCGCCGGCGUGCGCUGGCGCCCGCGCGCCAAAAAGUGGCCUGGUCGCUGGGUGCGUUUUCUGUCCACGGGCGGAUCCGGCCUUCGGGUAGGGGGGUCGCCCGUCGGCUCCGCCGGGCGGCGCGUCGCGAGCCCGCCGGGCGUGGCCGCAGCCGGCCGCCGCGCGGCGCCGUGCGCCGCGGCGCGCGCCGGCGCGCGCGCGGCUGCCGAUCCGGUGCGCGCGGCGGCGCACGCGGGCGCGCCAAAAAAGUGGCCUGGUCCUGGGUCGUUUUAUGUCCACGCGUUGCAUUUGUGGGGAUCCGGCUUCGGGUAGGUGUGGGAAGGAUAGAACCGUCGAGCUCCGCCGGCGCGCCCGGCGUCCUGUUGCCCUCGCGAGCCCCCGCCGGGCGCUGCGGCGGGCGGCACGUGCCUUUAGGGUCGCCCGGUGGCCCCCGGCGGCGUGCGCACGCGUGGCACGUGCGCCACAGCCGUGCCGCGCGGCGCCGUGCGCCGCGGCACGCGCCGGCGCGCGCGCGGCUGCCGAUCCGGUGCGCGCGGCGGCGCACGCGGGCGCGCCAAAAAAGUGGCCUGGUCCUGGGUCGUUUUAUGUCCACGCGUUGCAUUUGUGGGGAUCCGGCUUCGGGUAGGUGUGGGAAGGAUAGAACCGUCGAGCUCCGCCGGCGCGCCCGGCGUCCUGUUGCCCUCGCGAGCCCCGCCGGGCGCUGCGGCGGGCGGCACGUGCCUUUAGGGGUCGCCCGGUGGCCCCGUCGGCGUGCGCACGUGCGCACGUGCGCCGCGGCACGUGCCGGCGCGCUUGGCGGCCGAGCCGGUGCGCGCGGCGGCGCACGCGGGCGUGCCCAAAAAGUGGCCUGGUCCUGGGUCGUUUUAUGUCCACGCGUUGCAUUUGUGGGGAUCCGGCUUCGGGUUGGUGUGGGAAGGAUAGAACCGUCGGGCUCCGCCGGCGCGCCCGGCGUCCUGUUGCCUUCGCGAGCCCCCGCCGGGCGCUGUGGCGGGCGGCACGUGCCUUUAGGGUCGCCCGGUGGCCCCGUGGGCGUGCCCAAAAAGUGGCCUGGUCCUGGGUCGUUUUAUGUCCACGCGUUGCAUUUGUGGGGAUCCAGCUCUGGGUACCUGUGGGAACCGGGAAACCCUCGAGACGCUCGUAGUUCCGCGCACGGCGUCCCGCCGCGUCCCCGGCCGUCCGCUGACCCCCGUCCGGCGUCGACGGGCCCCUCGGGGCCUCCGACGCACGGUCGCGCGCGGGCGCGGCGCCGGGUCGCCUCGGGCACGUGACGGCGCGUGAGUAGUGGUCUGCGCGUUGCGCCUGCGGCCUCCCCUGCCCGAGUGCAGCCGACCGCGGGCGCGGGUCGCGUCUCGUUCGUCCCCGGAUGCCGGAGGGCUCGCCCCCUCGUGGUCUGUACCGCCUAGCCGGAAUGCGGCAACCUCGGAACCCCGACGACUGGGCGCCGGCUCUCCCCCUCCCCCAGCGGGCGGGCGAGAGGCGGCCGGUCGCGGCCCCCCGUGCGUCCCCCGACUCGCCCAGCGCGUGU
rnacentral:rRNA from 1 species